AAAAGGCAGGGGAUGACUUGUGGAUCGGAGUGAAAGGCUAAGUCAAGCUCGGAGAUAGCUGGUUCUCCUCGAAAGCUAUUUAGGUAGCGCCUCAUGUAUCACUCUGGGGGGUAGAGCACUGUUUCGGCUAGGGGGUCAUCCCGACUUACCAAACCGAUGCAAACUCCGAAUACCCAGAAGUGCCGAGCAUGGGAGACACACGGCGGGUGCUAACGUCCGUCGUGAAAAGGGAAACAACCCAGACCGUCAGCUAAGGUCCCAAAGUCCUGGUUAAGUGGUAAACGAUGUGGGAAGGCUUAGACAGCUAGGAGGUUGGCUUAGAAGCAGCCACCCUUUAAAGAAAGCGUAAUAGCUCACUAGUCGAGUCGGCCUGCGCGGAAGAUGUAACGGGGCUCAAACCAGGCACCGAAGCUACGGGUAUCACCUCUGGUGAUGCGGUAGAGGAGCGUUCUGUAAGCCUGUGAAGGUGAGUUGAGAAGCUUGCUGGAGGUAUCAGAAGUGCGAAUGCUGACAUGAGUAACGACAAUGCGAGUGAAAAACUCGCACGCCGAAAGACCAAGGGUUCCUGCGCAACGUUAAUCGACGCAGGGUGAGUCGGUCCCUAAGGCGAGGCUGAAAGGCGUAGUCGAUGGGAAACGGGUUAAUAUUCCCGUACUUCUAGUUACUGCGAUGGGGGGACGGAGAAGGCUAGGCCAGCUUGGCGUUGGUUGUCCAAGUUUAAGGUGGUAGGCUGACUGUUUAGGUAAAUCCGGACGGUCUAGGCCGAGAGCUGAUGACGAUCCUUCUUUUAGAAGGAGAAGUGGUUGAUGCCAUGCUUCCAGGAAAAGCCUCUAAGCUUCAGGUAACUAGGAACCGUACCCCAAACCGACACAGGUGGUCGGGUAGAGAAUACCAAGGCGCUUGAGAGAACUCGGGUGAAGGAACUAGGCAAAAUGGCACCGUAACUUCGGGAGAAGGUGCGCCGGUGAGGGUGAAGGGUUUACCCCGUAAGCUCAUGCCGGUCGAAGAUACCAGGCC
rnacentral:ncRNA from 1 species